GGAAGAGUGGCAGAGUGGUCGAUUGCACCGGUCUUGAAAACCGGCGUCCCGCAAGGGACCGUGAGUUCGAAUCUCACCUCUUCCG
rnacentral:tRNA from 1 species